CAGAGAUGCAGAGAUCCUUGCAGGUGGAGAGAACAUGAACAAAGUACUAGAAGCCAGAAGAGGAUUCGUCCCAAAACAAGUGUUUCAGCUUGCCAAGGUGAUAAUAGGAGAAAAAUGAAAGAAAAGUUGACAAGCAGAAAUAACAAGAACAAUCUGUCGUGGGAGCUGGAGACACCUUCACUCUGGAAGUCAUUAGUUCUUUGUGUAUGCUGUUUAAGAAAGCUGUGCCUACCUUAAAGUUACAUUAUCAUACCUAAUCCUCAUCAUC
rnacentral:lncRNA from 1 species